rnacentral:rRNA from 1 species
AGAACGAACGCUGGCGGCAGGCUUAACACAUGCAAGUCGAACGGUUGUAGCAAUACAGCAGUGGCGCACGGGUGAGUAACGCGUGGGAACAUCCCUUUCAGUUCGGAAUAACAGCGGGAAACUGCUGCUAAUACCGAAUAUUCUCUUCGGAGGAAAGAUUUAUUGCUGAAAGAUUGGCCCGCGUCAGAUUAGCUAGUUGGUGAGGUAAUGGCUCACCAAGGCUCCGAUCUGUAGCUGGUCUGAGAGGACGACCAGCCACACUGGAACUGAGACACGGUCCAGACUCCUACGGGAGGCAGCAGUGGGGAAUAUUGGACAAUGGGCGAAAGCCUGAUCCAGCCAUGCCGCGUGAAUGAUGAAGGCCUUAGGGUUGUAAAGUUCUUUUGCCAGGGAAGAUAAUGACGGUACCUGGAGAAUAAGCACCGGCUAACUUCGUGCCAGCAGCCGC